rnacentral:rRNA from 1 species
AGCGAACGCUGGCGGCAGGCUUAACACAUGCAAGUCGAGCGGGCAUCCUUGUGGUGUCAGCGGCAGACGGGUGAGUAACGCGUGGGAACGUGCCCUUCGGUUCGGAAUAACUCAGGGAAACUUGAGCUAAUACCGGAUACGUGCGAGAGCAGAAAGGUUUAUCUGCCGAAGGAUCGGCCCGCGUCUGAUUAGCUAGUUGGUGAGGUUAUGGCUCACCAAGGCGACGAUCAGUAGCUGGUCUGAGAGGAUGAUCAGCCACACUGGGACGGAGACACGGCCCAGACUCCUACGGGAGGCAGCAGUGGGGAAUAUUGGACAAUGGGGGCAACCCUGAUCCAGCCAUGCCGCGUGAGUGAUGACGGCCUUAGGGUUGUAAAGCUCUUUUCUUCGGGACGAUAAUGACGGUACCGGAGGAAUAAGCCCCGGCUAACUUCGUG